rnacentral:rRNA from 1 species
UGGGGAAUAUUGGACAAUGGGGGCAACCCUGAUCCAGCCAUGCCGCGUGAAUGAUGAAGGCCUUAGGGUUGUAAAGCUCUUUUGCCGGGGACGAUAAUGACGGUACCCGGAGAAUAAGUCCCGGCUAACUUCGUGCCAGCAGCCGCGGUAAUACGAAGGGGACUAGCGUUGUUCGGAAUCACUGGGCGUAAAGCGCACGUAGGCGGAUUUGUAAGUCAGGGGUGAAAUCCCGGGGCUCAACCUCGGAACUGCCUUUGAUACUGCGGAUCUCGAGUCCGAUAGAGGUGAGUGGAAUUCCUAGUGUAGAGGUGAAAUUCGUAGAUAUUAGGAAGAACACCGGUGGCGAAGGCGGCUCACUGGAUCGGUACUGACGCUGAGGUGCGAAAAGCGUGGGGAGCAAACAGGAUUAGAUACCCAUGUAGUCCCUGAGCGGGCUGGCAAGGCG